AUUGAACGCUGGCGGCAUGCCUUACACAUGCAAGUCGAACGGCAGCACGGGAGCAAUCCUGGUGGCGAGUGGCGAACGGGUGAGUAAUAUAUCGGAACGUGCCCAGUCGUGGGGAUAACGUAGCGAAAGCUACGCUAAUACCGCAUACGAUCUAUGGAUGAAAGCGGGGGAUCGCAAGACCUCGCGCGAUUGGAGCGGCCGAUAUCAGAUUAGGUAGUUGGUGAGGUAAAGGCUCACCAAGCCGACGAUCUGUAGCUGGUCUGAGAGGACGACCAGCCACACUGGGACUGAGACACGGCCCAGACUCCUACGGGAGGCAGCAGUGGGGAAUAUUGGACAAUGGGCGAAAGCCUGAUCCAGCAAUGCCGCGUGAGUGAUGAAGGCUCGGUGUAAG
rnacentral:rRNA from 1 species